AGGAUGAACGCUGGCGGCGUGCCUAUACAUGCAAGUCGAACGAGAACUAUCGGAUCUUCGGAACUGAGAAAUUCUAGUGGCGAACGGGUGAGUAACGCGUUGGUGACCUGCCCCGAAGAGGGGGAUAACGGUUCGAAAGAACCGCUAAUACCCCAUGAGCUCACGAGAGUUAGAGGUCUUGUGAGGAAAGGAGUAAUCCGCUUCGGGAGGGGCCUGCGUCCCAUCAGCUAGUUGGUAGGGUAAAAGCCUACCAAGGCGAUGACGGGUAGGGGACCUGAGAGGGUGACCCCCCACAAUGGAACUGAGACACGGUCCAUACACCUACGGGUGGCAGCAGUAGGGAAUAUUGCUUAAUGGACGAAAGUCUGAAGCAGCAACGCCGCGUGUACGAUGAAGGCCUUCGGGUUGUAAAGUACUUUUUGUAGGGAUGAGGAAGGACAGUACCUGCAGAAUAAGCCUCGGCUAACUACGUGCCAGCAGCCGCGGUAAAACGUAGGAGGCGAGCGUUAUCCGGAUUUACUGGGCGUAAAGCGCGUGUAGGCGGAUUGGUAAGUUAGCUGUGAAAGCUCCUGGCUUAACUAGGAGAUGUCGGUUAAUACUGCCAGUCUAGAGUAUGUGAGAGGGAAGUGGAAUUCCGGGUGUAGUGGUGAAAUGCGUAGAUAUCUGGAGGAACACCAGAGGCGAAGGCGGCUUCCUGGCACAUUACUGACGCUCAGACGCGAAAGCUAGGGGAGCGAACGGGAUUAGAGACCCCGGUAGUCCUAGCUGUAAACGAUGUAGACUUGGCGUUGGUGGGGUCAAACCCAUCAGUGCCGGAGCUAACGCAUUAAGUCUACCGCCUGGGGACUACGGCCGCAAGGUUAAGACUCAAAGGAAUUGACGGGGACCCGCACAAGCAGCGGAGCGUGUGGUUUAGUUCGAUUUACACGAAGAACCUUACCAGGGUUUGACAUGCAAGUGGUAGUGAAGCGAAAGCAGAACGACCCUUCGGGGAGCUUGCACAGGUGCUGCAUGGCUGUCGUCAGCUCGUGUCGUGAGAUGUUCGGUUAAGUCCGCUAACGAGCGCAACCCUCGUCGUGUGUUACAAGUGUCACGCGAGACCGCCGGUCAUAAACCGGAGGAAGUGGGGAUGACGUCAAGUCGGCAUGGCCUUUAUGUCCUGGGCUACACACACGCUACAAUGGCCAGUACAAUUGGUAGCGAAGUCGCGAGGCGGAGCCAAUCCGUAAAAGCUGGCCCCAGUUCAGAUUGUAGGCUGCAACCCGCCUGCAUGAAGAUGGAGUUGCUAGUAACCGCAGGUCAGCAAUACUGCGGUGAAUACGUUCCCGGGUCUUGUACACACCGCCCGUCACGUCAUGGGAGCUGGCAAUGCCUGAAGCCGGUAUUCUAACCCGCAAGGGAGGGAGCCGUCAAAGGCAGGGUCGGUAACUGGGACGAAGUCGGAACAAGGUA
rnacentral:rRNA from 1 species